UGGGGAAGAUUGGACAAUGGGGGCAACCCUGAUCCAGCCAUGCCGCGUGAGUGAUGAAGGCAUUAGGGUUGUAAAGCUCUUUCGCCGGUGAAGAUAAUGACGGUAACCGGUAAAGAAGCAUCGGCUAACUUCGUGCCAGCAGCCGCGGUAAUACGAAGGGCGCUAGCGUUGUUCGGAAUUACUGGGCGUAAAGCGCGCGUAGGCGGGUCAUUAAGUCAGGGGUGAAAUCCCGGGGCUCAACCUCGGAAUUGCCUCUGAUACUGGUGGCCUUGAGUCCGUGAGAGGUGAGUGGAACUCCGAGUGUAGAGGUGAAAUUCGUAGAUAUUCGGAAGAACACCAGUGGCGAAGGCGGCUCACUGGCACGGUACUGACGCUGAGGUGCGAAAGCGUGGGGAGCAAACAGGAUUAGAUACCCCCGUAGUCC
rnacentral:rRNA from 1 species